ACUAAGAUUAAAGCGUGACACAGAAGAAUGGAUAAAAAGAAGAUCCUCAAGAGGAAGCAGCAUCAGCUGCAAGUGGAGGCGGAGCUCCACCGCCUCCCUAACCAGCAACCAAAAUCAAAAUCAGUUCGUGUUUCUUCUAAAUCAGCCACCACCGCCACGAAUCCAUACUCUUCUCACAGUGGCCCCACUCCACAAGAAUGCCUCUCCCUACGAGACACCCUCUUAGCCCUCCACGGUUUCCCUCCCGAAUUCGCCAAGUACCGCAAGCGACAACACGUUGACGACAACCACCACCACGCCGCCACCAUCCCGCCGGAAACCGUGCUCGACGGUUUGGUCCGAACAGUGCUCUCUCAGAACACCACCGAGUCCAAUUCCCAAAAGGCGUUCGAUUCCCUCAAAUCAUCCUUCCCCACCUGGGAACAUGUGCUUGGUGCGGAUUCGAAGGAGUUGGAGAAUGCGAUUCGAUGCGGGGGUUUGGCACCCACAAAGGCUUCGUGUAUUAAGAACAUGUUGCGUUGCUUGCUGGAGAAGAGAGGCAAGUUGUGCUUGGAGUAUUUGCGAGACUUGUCCAUUGAUGAAGUUAAGGCUGAGCUCUCUCUUUUCAAGGGAAUUGGUCCCAAAACUGUGGCUUGUGUGUUGAUGUUCAAUCUUCAGCUAGAUGAUUUUCCCGUUGACACUCACAUUUUUGAGAUAGCAAAAACAAUUGGUUGGGUGCCAGCUGCUGCUGACAGAAACAAGACAUAUCUUCAUCUAAACGAAAGGAUCCCAAAUGAACUUAAAUUUGACCUGAAUUGUCUCAUGUAUACACAUGGGAAGCUUUGCCGUAAAUGCACAAGUAAAAAGGGUAACAAGCAAAGAGAGAAAUGUGAUGAUAAUAACUCCUGUCCUUUAUUGAAUUAUUGUAAAGAACCAGUUUGAACUUUGAUGCUCAGAACUUGUAUUGUAUAGAGCUAACUAGUGGUAAUAACGUAGGCUGGAGACUAUUUUGAAGUGUUAGUUGAAUUGAAAGAGAAGCUCACAAUUAUGUGAUUGAUACGGUGAUGACGUGCCAAGCUGGGAAUGACAGAGACAUCAACAAGCUGAACGAGAUGUCGCAUUACGUUGGGGCGGCCGACUUCGAGAGGUCUCGCCUUCUACUGUCUCACGCGAGUGAGCCAUACCCUUCCUCCAUCCGAUGCCAUCGUCCCGUAUUUGGCUGAGGCCAGAUUUGGCGACACGGUGCCACUCAGGGACUUCACUUUUGACAAUUUCCUGAUUUCGGCACUCGUGGAGUUACGGCGUUCGGAGACGCACACGUUUCAUCUCCCGUGGGGUUAGGUCACUAUCACCCUACAGGACGUGGCGUACCACCUAGACCUACGCGCACAUGGUAACCGCUUUGGAGGGUGCCUUCGUGACUUCGAUAGGUCGUACGGCACGGAGACAUGGGCUAUGGUGGAGCAGUUGCUUGGUGCUAGGCCUCCGGUGGCGGCACAGCAGGCUGCGCAGAGGAAGGAGUCUUUCACACUGAAGCUCGUGUGGCUGCGGGAUCAUGUCCACCAGAUGCCCCGAACAGACGACCCGAAGACCCUCCGACAGUACGCUAGGUGCUAUAUUAUGUUACUUAUCGGAGGGUAUUUGAUGAUAGACAAGUCCAACAACCUAGUGCACAUACGUUGGCUACCACUUCUCCGGGACUUCGGGGAGUGUAGGGCACUUUCCUGGUGAUCGGCUGUGCUGGCCUAGACGUACCAGUCACUUUGUUCGGCGGCACAACGAGGCAUCACGGACAUCGCCGGUUGCACUCCGCUGUUGAAGAGUUGAAUUUAUCAGAGAUUUUCUCAGUGGUGUCCACCAGAUAGAGGAAUCUACCAGUAUCCGCUGGCUGCAAGGUUGGUUGGAUUGCAGUAGUAGAGUACGGAUCAGCAUCAGGCCAGGGUCCUGCAUUGGAGAGUUUCGAUCGAUUGGUUACGAUUCGACGAGUUUGCAUGGAGAGUCUACGAUGACCCUGCGAUGCAGGCUUUGUGCCCGCCAUGGUUCCGUGACGAGGAGGAGUGGGGGACGUGGUUGUCAGCCGUCCCGCUAGUGUGCUCAAUAUUGUACGGUUUCACCACGUUGAUCGGGAAAACGGAAGUUCAAUGGGGAGCAGCAAGUGCAAGGCACUCCGAUGAAUCUUGACAGUGCCGGAAUUGGGUGAGGUGGAGGUAGGACAUGGCGCGCCACAGUCUGGACAGGUGUCUUCGGAACACAUUCAUCCUCAUUCCCACCAUCGGACGAGUCGCUGUCUGCACUGUCCGCCACGUAAUCAUCGUCCGACUCCUCCUUGUCCUCCUCUGCCUCAUCCAUUGGAAUGGCGACAUGAAUAGGCGGUGGUGCGAGAGGUCGGUCGUCCUGUACAUAGGUCGAGUGUACGGAACUCCCACCACCACUAUGUCCUACCCCAGCGGAAAGCUCCAUUACCUGCUCCACAAUGAUUCUCCCAUGAAUGUCGAACAUCAGUGGCACAUGCUCGUCCCUUUGAAGUCGGAAUAGUCGAAAUCGGAAGACUCCGUUAUCCAUGGGUGCCAGCAACCUAUACGCCACCCUUCCGAUCUCCCUCACUUCUGUACCCCGAGCUUGCUCAAUGUCAAACUUUUCAAAUCCAACAACGUAUUCACACACUGAGUGCAAAACAAUAUCGGAUCCUCACAAUCAAAUGUCACCCCGUUGUCGCCAUUUCUUAUAUGACAAUUGGGAUAAACAAGCACAACUAUGUAUGGACUAUUACUGGCCAUUGAUUCCUUGUUUUCGUGAGAAAUACGAGACAGAAAAGGGAUAGAAAAAAUUUAUGAAGAAUACUAAAGAUUACACAUCCUUUUAUAGCUGCUACCGUUGUCUAUGUAUCUCGUUUACAUGAUAAACGAGAUAAGAUUGGAGAAUUUAAAUUAAUAAAUAUUUUUUAAAUUAUUUAUUUUGGUAAUCAUUAUAUUUAUUUUAUUUAUUAAAAUAAAAAAUCCUUUUAAUGUUCGGUGUCUUGUAAACACGCACGCAGAGCGAACUACUUAAUA